CAACCUGCCCAUCACUUGGGGAUAACCUUGCGAAAGUAAGACUAAUACCCAAUGAUAUCUCUAGAAGACAUCUGAAGGAGAUUAAAGAUUUAUCGGUGAUGAAUGGGGAUGCGUCUGAUUAGCUUGUUGGCGGGGUAACGGCCCACCAAGGCGACGAUCAGUAGGGGUUCUGAGAGGAAGGUCCCCCACAUUGGAACUGAGACACGGUCCAAACUCCUACGGGAGGCAGCAGUGAGGAAUAUUGGUCAAUGGGCGAGAGCCUGAACCAGCCAAGUAGCGUGCAGGAUGACGGCCCUAUGGGUUGUAAACUGCUUUUAUAAGGGAAUAAAGUGAGCCUCGUGAGGCUUUUUGCAUGUACCUUAUGAAUAAGGACCGGCUAAUUCCGUGCCAGCAGCCGCGGUAAUACGGAAGGUCCGGGCGUUAUCCGGAUUUAUUGGGUUUAAAGGGAGCGUAGGCCGGAGAUUAAGCGUGUUGUGAAAUGUAGAUGCUCAACAUCUGCACUGCAGCGCGAACUGGUUUCCUUGAGUACGCACAAAGUGGGCGGAAUUCGUGGUGUAGCGGUGAAAUGCUUAGAUAUCACGAAGAACUCCGAUUG
rnacentral:rRNA from 1 species